rnacentral:misc_RNA from 1 species
GAGAAUGCGAUAUGCAAUGUGAAUUGCAGAACUACGAAUCAUUUGAUCUUUGAACGCAAAUGGCGCUGAUUCAUAUCAGCAUACUUGUUUCAGUGUGCCUAACCAAAUCUAAACAAAAUGUAAGAGAAAACUCUCUUAUGAAAUAAAUGCUCCAAGUAGCAGUCACAUUUCUAUGUGAGCUAUUGUGGAAGAAUAUUUGUCUUAUUCGCACCUGAAAUCAAGUAAGAUCACCCGCUGGACUUAA